rnacentral:rRNA from 1 species
AGGGAAUCUUCCGCAAUGGGCGAAAGCCUGACGGAGCAACGCCGCGUGAGUGAUGAAGGUCUUCGGAUCGUAAAACUCUGUUAUUAGGGAAGAACAAAUGUGUAAGUAACUAUGCACGUCUUGACGGUACCUAAUCAGAAAGCCACGGCUAACUACGUGCCAGCAGCCGCGGUAAUACGUAGGUGGCAAGCGUUAUCCGGAAUUAUUGGGCGUAAAGCGCGCGUAGGCGGUUUUUUAAGUCUGAUGUGAAAGCCCACGGCUCAACCGUGGAGGGUGAAUGGAAGCUGGAGAACUUGAGUGCAGAAGAGGAAAGUGGAAUUCCAUGUGUAGCGGUGAAACGCGCAGAGAUAUGGAGGAACAAAAGUGGCGAAGGCGACUAUAUGGGCGGUAACGGACGCUGAUGUGCGAAAGCGUGGGGAGCAAACA